CUUCACUGUCCACUCCAAAACUACAUAUCAACCUUCAGUUCUUCUGUACCACAAAAAUCUUCACGUGCCCAACAUAAACCAGAUUUGUUUGUUCAGAUGGGAAGUUUUCCAUACCUGAAAUCAUUGUGGAUUCUAUGAUUAUCAAAAGCAGGACAAAGCAUUCUUGGUGGAAUAGUAGCCUGUCUGCGAAGGCAACCAGUUGAAUUUGAGUUUCCCCUGUUUUGUCAUUUUCCCUUGUUUCAAACCUGUAAAAAGCCAAUCAAACUCAAACAAUUAACCAAAACACACAUUAAAAUCAGUAAACAGAAGGCUCCCCUAAAGAAGAUCCUGACUUAGAAGCCAGUGCCACCAUCUUCCUUUAUGUUACUUUACUUCUAUUACUUUCCUCCCUGACUUCUCUUUUGGCAGGAAUUCAUCGGGGAAAUGCUUGACCAUAGCCAUGAUGAUUUUGCAGCCCUUCCUUGCUUCAGAGACACUUCUGUAAGUUUUAAAAUCAACAAGUUGGGCAGGUAAUCUCAAUCACCAAGCACACUCACUCCCUGUGGUUAGAACCGGAUAGACCCUCUCGAGUCUCAGCUCAACUUUAGCAUUUUCUUUUGAACUAUUUGUCUAACGCAGUUUUUCAUUCAUCCCUCUCCUGCAACCCAUUGAUUCUAUUGAUCCAGUCCUUGUAGAAGAAUCUAAAUAGUGGUGUGACUUCUAAACUAAUCUUCUGUAGUUCUCUUUAGUAUAAAUAAAAGUCCCGUUUCUGCCCAUAAAUAGACAUCUCUAUUGCUAACAAAUAACAGGUUCUCUACACUUGUGAAUUAGAGAGGGAGGAAGCCCGCACAUCUUAAUCUCUUCCAUUGAUAUUGACACAUGAGGAAUUAAAGUUUUACAUCCACCAUACUACAAUACAUAGAGGCAAUGCCUCUUCAACCAAAA